UACGUAGGGUGCAAGCGUUGUCCGGAAUUAUUGGGCGUAAAGAGCUCGUAGGCGGUUUGUCGCGUCUGCUGUGAAAACUCGGGGCUCAACUCCGAGCUUGCAGUGGGUACGGGCAGACUAGAGUGCGGUAGGGGAGACUGGAAUUCCUGGUGUAGCGGUGAAAUGCGCAGAUAUCAGGAGGAACACCGGUGGCGAAGGCGCCACUCUGGGCCGGUACUGACGCUGAGGAGCGAAAGCGUGGGUAGCAAACAGG
rnacentral:rRNA from 1 species